UAUGCUAAGUGUCAUUGCAGUGACUUGUGAGAGCGGCAUACUCAUUUGACUAAGAUUAGCUGUUACAACAAGGUCAUUUAUGCUUUAAUGCAAUUAGUUAUGCCAGUAUUGAUAGAGGAAAAAAAAAAUAGUCUCGUGUUGAGACAGGGAUGUUUCAUUGCCAGGGUUGUAUCUCCUUGAAUUCAAGCUUCCUCUAAAACCUGUUUGCAGAGAUGGGGCACCACCACCAUCACCUCUCUGGGCACCCUGUGCCAGUGCCUCACCACCCUUAGCAUAAACAGCAUCUUCCUUACAUCCAGCCUGAACCUCCCCUCCCCAGCACCUCACGUUAGCAGGCAGAAAACCCACCAAACAUACAUAAACCUUCUCAAACAAUGCAAAGUAGGAGAAAGAAAAAAUGAGACUCUUAAGAGCAUUCAAACAGCUUGUGAAAUUUGCAGGAAAGGUAUUGUAGGAGCCCACAUCGCACUCAAAUAGUCUAACAAUAAGUUUCCCAAUAAACAGCUGUUUCAAGAAACCCAGCUCCAAACCCACCCUCUUUUCUCCACAAUGCAUGUCAAAUCUGCAUCAAAACGCUCACCACCUGUUUCCAGUUUGCAGGCAACCAAUCAUUGUUCAUCAAAGUAACAAAGCUGUUUUAAAUUUGAAAGCAACAAAUCCAAGUUUAAUUAUUUUGUCCUUCAGAGCUUUCCGCUAUCUUUUACGAAAGCUGUUUCAGAGAUGAAGAACUAUCAUUGGCUGCCUUAAAAGGGGAAUAAUUGAUUGACAGCCGGAAAAACACUUCUAAGGACAAUAGUAUUUGUCAGUCUGGUAUUUUUCACACUAAAGACAAAUUGCAUUUUAUCAACACCCUGAAAUUAUUUUGUCAACAAAAUUCAUUUUGUGGCAUUCCCUUCAUCUGUCACACUGACAGAACGCUCUCCAGAGUGUUCUAAAAAAACAUUUUGCUAACAUGAUUAAUUUAUCCAACAUUUAAUUUUGCUUUUUAAUCAUACGUACAGAAAGAUGUUGCAGGACGUGCACAGGAAGGUGUGAAGAGCAAUGCCAUUAGCUCACGCAGCCAGGAGGAGGCCAGGCAUACAAACCUUCACCAGCAGAAUGCUACUGGUUGAAGAGUUGCAAUGUUUGAUCGGUUCUGUGUAGACAAAAGCCCUGCUUGAGCAAAUCGUGUUUUCACAAAUCAUUUGACCUUACUGAAAAUGUUUCAAAGAGCUUUAUGUCAAGUAUCCCACAGCAAUUAGAGAACAGUGUGUGUGCAUGCACAAAAUGAAGUGCCAUCACCCUAACACAAGCAGAACGUUCGGGAUGGUUCUGUCAGCUCAUGGCAUGGAUGGUAUGGGAAGAUGGACAAGUGCCCCACACAACAAUACAUUGACUUCCAACAUGUCAAUGCCAAUAGCAAACAGGUGCUCUGCUUCUAUGCAAUGUAUGAUAUUUUUAGGAAUUUUCCUAACAGAUUUAUGCCAAAUGCACAGCAGUGACUCAAACGCCAAGAUUCCUGAGAGUUCCCCUCAGAAUCUCUUGACUUGAAUGUAAAUCUCUAGCAGGAAUGUAAGUACUCUUCCACUUGAAUGUAAAUCUCUAGCAGGAAUGUAAUUGGACAGUUUUCCUUGUGCCCAUUUUGUUUUUUGAUGAAACGAUGCACUGGGAGGUCAAGUAACUUUUCUAAGGUCAUGCAUUAAAUCAGCACCAGGUGAAGGAGCAACAACUACGCUUCCUGCUUCCCAGUGUAUCCACCGGGCAAUAAUACCAGUGAAUGGUACAAUGCAUUGUCAGAAUUACACGUGCGUGUGCCUCGAUUAAUAAUAAAUAAGCUCAGAUGCUCUCAAACAAGAUUAUAUCUGCACUUGUAGGGAUGGAAAGUAUCACCCCUUUUCACAGAGCUCACAGGUUGCAUUUUGGAACAUUGAGAACAUUAAAGGAAAAAGCAUUGCUGACGCUUUAGAAGUGAAUUCACAGGCAACUGAAAUACUUUUCCCAAGAGCUGCAGAUUGCAGGACACUUUCUGAGGUUGACUGACAAGAAGAGGAAAGGCUCAAACAAAAGCAUGGGUCUCUCCAUCCUUCUGGUCCCCUGUUGAGGAGCACAAACACACAGAUGCUCACACGGAUUCAAAAUAAGUGUUGGUUGGACAGACAAAGUCAUGCUGUAUGCUCAGAAAUGCUGAUAAUUGUUGUCCCAGGAAACAAAACAUUCCAUCACAGCUCCUGAAGCUUGUUUCUACACCUCUUACCAGUUUCUAUCAUAUCACUUCUGCAGCGCACUUUCUGAUUUCCUGGGAGAUGGUUUGUGCUGAAGCAAGGAAAAGCUCCAGUAUGGAAAAGGCAGACCAUUGCACAGGUUUCACCAUGAACACAAAUUCUUCGCAGAUGCAGCAGUGUCUGUGCAGUGCCUUCUUUAUGACUUGCCUUCACAGCUAACAGCCCUGCUGCAAUACCUGAAAUCUGACCUAGCAGAGGAUGCAGCUGGUUGGAUAUCCCUUACCUCAGUGCUGCCUGCUGAGUGCCCUCAGAGCCCAGAUCCUCAAUGGCCAUUCACUGUCAUGGAAUUAAAAUCUGAUACAUCCCUUCCCUGACUUGUCUCUGCUGGGGUUUUGUAACUGACUCUCAUCCCUCUCCCACUGCGCAGUCUUCUUCUCACCUCCAGAAGGUGCUGCAGUUAUUAUAGUCACAGCCACAUUACUUUAAUAGACUUAAUCCUUCUGGGCCUCUUUUUGACACUGAAUUAUUAAUUCAUUAAUCUGUUUUUCAUAUUUCUAAACAGAAACAGACAUUACUGGCGUGAAUGAUCAAUACUGUGUUCUUUCAUUCCUUUCCUUUUCCAUCAUUUUAGAAUCUACUCUGCUUUCAAUCUUGGGUCUUUUUAAUAGGAUUUGCUUUUGUGAAGAAUUUGACACCUCAUUAAGGCAACUCUAUGCUAACAGAUUUAAUAAUUCCUAUCUGCAUUGGUCACUUAUAACUGACGUUACACAUUCAAGUCACUCUUGGAUCUGCCUGAAAGAUAUUCCUGGAGGAAGAAGACUUGCCUUUGGGAUCUGUGCUCCUAUUGCCACUGACAACAGAUCCAGACUGAAUCAGGGCUAAGACUAUGUGACUCACCUUCUGCUGCCAGGGGCUUUGUCCCCUUUCCUUUAGGAGACAGGUGAUGAACCUUACACAUUGACACUAGCUGCAGCCAGCACAGCAGCCCAGCUCAGCCAGCACAGCCCAAAGCAGAAGUGGUCAUAAUGUACAGAGCAGCAUCUUAGCCUAAAUCUCUACAAAAGGCUCAUUGCAGAGCUAUCAAGCCUGAGACACCCUUGGCCAGACACAACCCAGAUCUCUUCCAGUUCAGCAAUCAUGUAUCUGCAGGUUAACCUCAGGGACCCAUGUAUGUUGGAAGAAGGACCUAUUUUCAGCGGUACCAACCAGAUGACUCCAGCACGUGGAUUCUGGAAGCAAGAGUUGCAUUGCAGAGGCAAGCAGAAACACAGUGCUGGUGGAGACCCCAGUCAUCUUACUAGAUGACAUCCUCACCACCAAAUAGCCAAAAUACUGUCAGCCCUCCACCACAUGACACAGUCUGGCCUAUUCGGUCCUAUUUCCUGUCCACUACAGUCUCUCUGCUGUAAUCCAACAUCAAAUUCUCCUCAGCACUGAUUCUUCCCAGGCUGCAUCUCCCAUCACUGGACUGGCACAAUAGGAGUGAUCAAGUGAGCUGACAGGUGUGCAAAAUGGCACGGCUUCAUACAGAGAGGAUCUAGCUGAAGCACCUGUGAGCAGAGUUGCCAUCUGGUUGUAAUGUUCCAGAACAAAACAGACAAACCAAAGAUAAUUAUUUACAGUCAAUGUUUCUAUUGUACACAAUGAUUGGAAUACUUUACAGACUUAGAAUGUGAUGGCACAAAGGAAAUCUUAAUGAGGGAUUACGAAGCAAUUGAGAUUGGGGGAAAAUGUUAACUGAAGACUACAAAAAUAAUAGGAAAUGCCAAAUGCCCACAUGUGCUUGCAUAUAUGGGUAUACUCCAGGAUGCAGAGAGUAUAAGGGAAGGCUGUAGUUGUCCCGCAAGAAGUAGUGCCAGAAAGAGCCCUGAAGUGCCUGGCAAAGCUCAGGAUGUUGCUGUCUGCCACCAGAAUGGAUAUAGGACAGCAGUGUCUACCUAGAGUAACCUUCAUAAGGGAAGCAUCUUUCCCUGCCAGGCAGCCUAACUCUUGCACUGUUCCCUACCACAAUAAACAUCAGUAUGACUUCUUGCAAUUGUACAAAGCUCCAUUUUACCUCUGAACUCCAUGACUUUUCUUGAAACCAACUGUGCUUUCUGUUAGCAUAAUACACCUUGGAUCAGGCCUUCUACUAAUCAUUAUUACAGAUGUCAUUCUCUCUUCCUGAAAUGAAUGAACACAUCAGUAGUUGGCCCUCAAACCCUCCUUAGCUGAAAUACAAAUGCUCUAUACUAGAUUUCAAACCAGGUUGAACAAAGCCUGCCAUUUCCCUUCGCUGUUGCUAUAGUAAAAGCUUAAUGGUCAAGGCUGCUCCCUACGUGCAGGAAUUUGCUCUCUGUAAAGGGUUAUAAGCCAGCCCAGCUUCAGCCCAGCCAACAAGAAAGCAGCAGAAAGACAGACAGCUGUCUCCUGUAUCCCACACUCUGUUCUUAGGAGAAUGCAAGGUAACCUCAGAGGUCUUUCAUGGCUCUUACUCUGGUGGCUUCAGAAGGGGAAUGUUGCAAAGAAACUACUCCAUCCAUAAGCAAAAUGGUGAAACAUCAUUAUGAUUUUUUUUUACCCACACCCUGCCUGUGUUCUCAGGAGGUAUAAGACACGACAAACUGCUCCAUCACCUUUUCAGUGUAACAAGCCCUCUCCUGUACCAUGCAGUGAACCAGGGUGCUGCACCUCAGAGUGGCUUGUGCAUGUGAGGCAGAGGAAGGGAAGGAAGCAGCAGCCACCUCCCUGGCACACCUCCCUGUGACACCAGCAGAGCAACGUAACCCAGGCUGUCUGCUCCUUUCCUCCUCCUGGCCUCUGAUCCAUGGUGUACCGUGCAGCAGAACCUGUCACCCACAAGGCAAGCAAAAGGGCAGAGUUGCAUCACACAGGAAAAGUGCUUUCAACUGAUACACACACCUCUGGCACCGGCUCCCUUGUCAUCCAACCCCAGCAAGUAUUUAUUAAUGAAGCUUGCCUGAUUGUUGAUUCAUUUGAUUGUUAAAGCUUGUGGAACUCGUACUGUUAUUACUCAUUGUUAUUAAUGUUCACAGCUCAGCCUCUCUCUUUCCAAUACGCUCCACAGAGGAAAUCGAAGGCUGAAACCAAUUGUUACAGUAAAUGAAUGAUGGAGCCGCUUGAGGAUAGGAGCAUGCCUGCUGCUCUGGGACCGCUGCAUGUUAGUGGGAGUCAGUUAAUCUUCACACACAAGGACUGCAAACUGAGAGGCUAUUUCAGGUCAGUUCUCUGUUCUGUACGCUGCUUCCUGAGUCAACUGGUGUAUGACAGUCACCCUAACAAAGCAGUCUCUGCACAGGACCAGUGACCCAGGGCAGGCUUUGAUCUAUGGCAGAAACAAGGUUUCCUUUGCACUCCUCCACAAGUACAGAAGACAACACCAGAACAAUGCAGUAGAGAGCAGAAGGGAGCUCAGCAGUGCAAUAUGUGCGUGUGCACGCUGCUUGCUUCAGUACUUCCCCUCUCCUCCCCUCCUGCAAGCCUUCUCCACCUCUCCACAGCCUCUUGGUAUGUGAUCAGUUCCAAUUGUUACGCCACGUGUAAACUCCCCAAGACAGAACAGCAGCACUCCUACCUGUCUGGUAGUCAGGAUGCUUCCAAAUCUGCAACAGGGCCCUUAUGGCAGCGUUUCAGAACAAUGUACUCAUUCGCGUUAUACCUCCAGCAUCUACAGAGCCGUCACAUACCAUAUUCAGUCUAUUAUUCAUCUCAAGUAGAGAAUUCUGCAAAGCAGGAGGAAAUAAAAGAGGGCUUAAUACAGCUUUACUAAAAUGGAAUUUGCCAAGGACUCAUAGAAAAAUGGAUUUAAUUAGGGCUGCUAAUGGGGAACAGUUUGUUCCUGUGAUUUAAGGCAGAAGUUAGAUAGUGUCUAUAAUUUCAACAUUUUAAAUUAUAUAUACCAGGUCAUUUCUCAUUUCUACCUUAAUUAUAAAAAUCCAUCUUUAUGUAUCACAAUUUCAAGGCAAAUAAAGCAAAGGCAGCAAAAAUGAUAUUUUAUUUAAUAAAACUUGUAAGAACUC
ensembl:lncRNA